rnacentral:misc_RNA from 1 species
GUCGCAGUGAAUCCAUAACAAAAAUUGCAACAGAGAGAUUUUCUGAUAGGCCAACUGAUACAAAAAAAUCGGACAAAACAUUCCAUAUUCGGGACCAAACUAAUCUGAUGCGAUUCAUAUUGUAAUGCGCAAUUUCAACUAUUUUUGUGAGGCUAAAUACACGAGGAUCUGUUGGGGACUGCAACUCUGCCAUUGCAACUUUGCAGAGAGCUUUCACAAAAGCUACUAUUGCUUCACUGUUCAAUCUCUGGCUAUUAGCAAAUACAUGGUUCAACUCAAAAUUCCCUAUCUGGUCGAGCAAAUUCAAAUUCGAGAUGAAGUGACUGAUCUGCUCUGCAGUUACUGGCCCUGGAGAAUUAACUCCAACUGUGGUGCUGUCAUAUGAACCACCCCUAACAACAGCCAUCACAGCUGGAUUCUGGAGAGUUCCCUUUCUCUUUAGAGAUGGAUAACCCAUUGACUUCAAUACUUUUUCAUCUGCUUCUACAUUAGAUGCAGUCAAGAAAGACGCAUCAGGAGGUGCACCCUCUCCCAGCAGCUGCAGAUGUUCAAUUCGGGAUAGGCAAGUUAAGAUAUGCUCCCAAGCUUCCUGAAGAUAAUUACCAUCUUCAAUUGCAAUUGAUAUUAUUGCCUUCACCACAUCAACAUUUUUUUGCUUCAUAUCUGCAGCAUUAUGAAGAUAAGUAAACUUGGCCAUAGAUGUUACAAAAGCAUCUCUUUGGGUUUGCAUUCCUAUUACUGCAGCAACAUGCACUGCAUAUCGAAAGCCCUGUAAGCACUGAGAUGUAGCAAGUUUAUCAUCAGUCUGGUCAAGUGUCAUGCUAAAUGCAGCCAGCAUAGGACCCCAGCAGACCUCAACCAUGAACCUCAAGAUUGCUGCAUCAGUAACAAUAUGAUAAACAGACUCUGAUUUGCUAGACUUUGCCUUGAACUGUUCUUGGAUGUGCCUUAUCAGGAGUCCAUUUGCUCCUAAUGGCUUUUCUUCUGUUUGC